rnacentral:rRNA from 1 species
GAUGAACGCUGGCGGCGUGCCUAAUACAUGCAAGUCGAGCGAACAGACGAGGAGCUUGCUCCUCUGACGUUAGCGGCGGACGGGUGAGUAACACGUGGAUAACCUACCUAUAAGACUGGGAUAACUUCGGGAAACCGGAGCUAAUACCGGAUAAUAUAUUGAACCGCAUGGUUCAAUAGUGAAAGACGGUUUUGCUGUCACUUAUAGAUGGAUCCGCGCCGCAUUAGCUAGUUGGUAAGGUAACGGCUUACCAAGGCAACGAUGCGUAGCCGACCUGAGAGGGUGAUCGGCCACACUGGAACUAAGACACGGUCCAGACUCCUACGGGAGGCAGCAGUAGGGAAUCUUCCGCAAUGGGCGAAAGCCUGACGGAGCAACGCCGCGUGAGUGAUGAAGGUCUUCGGAUCGUAAAACUCUGUUAUUAGGGAAGAACAAAUGUGUAAGUAACUAUGCACGUCUUGACGGUACCUAAGCAGAAAGCCACGGCUAACUACGU